UUGCUGCAAACGCAGCUUACAAAAUAAAGUCUCGGCUCGGUCAGCGUCGACGUCGCUGUCGGCAGCACUGCUUGCGACGCGUUCAAUGGCUUAGCAAAUGCAUUAAGUACUUUUAAAGCUAAGUUUCUGGUUCCUGCAUAAUACUAGGUAUUAAGUAUUCAUUGCAUAUUCACAAGUAAGUUAACAUUAUUCUCAGUUCGGCAAUAUCUAUGAAGAGCAACAAUUACAAGGCAUUAGUAUGAAAUGCCAGACCGGCUUAUUCUAUUUACUGGCGCAAGCAGGCGCAAACCGGUAUCUAAAUUUAUCCAACAGACACCCUUCAAUUGUUAUUGUAGUUCAACAAAGCAGUGCAGCUUUCUGUAAGCGACAAAGCGACGACGACUACACCGACAACGACGACGACGAAGCGACGUCACAAAGCAUAAUGCUGCCAGACAGACGCAGGCAUAGAGGGAAUUUACACAUGGGCAAUUAACGGCAAAUAAAACGGUAUUUUAAGAAUUGAGCUGUUUGGCAGUGUGUGAUAGAGAGGGAGAGAGAAAAUCAAU